GAUGAACGCUGGCGGCGUGCCUAAUACAUGCAAGUCGAACGGAAGGGCCAGGCUUUCAGGGUUCUGGAGUUGGCAACGGGCGAGUAACUCGCACGUGAUUUGCCCUGCUAUUCGGCUUAAGUAUCGUCGACUGGGCGGAACUCAGGCCGGGAAAUAUUUUGAGCCUGAUGGUUGGAAAGUUUUUUCGGGUUUGGAUGAGAUCGCGGCCUGGCAGCUUGCUGGUGGGGUGAUGGCCUACCAAGGCGGCGACGGGUAGUCGGCCUGCGUGGGUGAACGGCCACAUUGGGACUGAGAUGCGGCCCAGACUCCUACGGGAGGCAGAAGUGGGGAAUAUUGCACGAUGGGCGCAAGCCUGAUGCAGCGACGCCGCGUGGGGGAAGACGGCCUUCGGGUUGUAAACUCCUUUCGCUAGGGACGAAGCUUUUUGUGACGGUACCUAGAUAAGAAGCACCGGCUAACUACGUG
rnacentral:rRNA from 1 species